rnacentral:rRNA from 1 species
GACGAACGCUGGCGGCGUGCUUAACACAUGCAAGUCGAACGGAAAGGCCCUGCUUUUGUGGGGUGCUCGAGUGGCGAACGGGUGAGUAACACGUGAGUAACCUGCCCUUGACUUUGGGAUAACUUCAGGAAACUGGGGCUAAUACCGGAUAGGUGCUCCUGCUGCAUGGUGGGGGUUGGAAAGUUUCGGCGGUUGGGGAUGGACUCGCGGCUUAUCAGCUUGUUGGUGGGGUAGUGGCUUACCAAGGCUUUGACGGGUAGCCGGCCUGAGAGGGUGACCGGGGACAUUGGGACUGAGGUACGGCCCAGACUCCUACGGGAGGCAGCAGUGGGGAAUAUUGCACAAUGGGCGGAAGCCUGAUGCAGCAACGCCGCGUGCGGGAUGACGGCCUUCGGGUUGUAAACCGCUUUCGCCUGUGACGAAGCGUGAGUGACGGUAAUGGGUAAAGAAGCACCGGCUAACUACGUG